AUGAACGCUGGCGGCGUGCCUAAUACAUGCCAGUCGAGCGAACAGACGAGGAGCUUGCUCCUCUGAUGUUAGCGGCGGACGGGUGAGUAACACGUGGAUAACCUACCUAUAAGACUGGGAUAACUUCGGGAAACCGGAGCUAAUACCGGAUAACAUGUUGAACCGCAUGGUUCAACAGUGAAAGACGGUCUUGCUGUCACUUAUAGAUGGAUCCGCGCCGCAUUAGCUAGUUGGUAAGGCAACGGCUUACCAAGGCAACGAUGCGUAGCCGACCUGAGAGGGUGAUCGGCCACACUGGAACUGAGACACGGUCCAGACUCCUACGGGAGGCAGCAGUAGGGAAUCUUCCGCAAUGGGCGAAAGCCUGACGGAGCAACGCCGCGUGAGUGAAGAAGGUCUUCGGAUCGUAAAACUCUGUUAUUAGGGAAGAACAAAUGUGUAAGUAACUAUGCACGUCUUGACGGUACCUAAUCAGAAAGCCACGGCUAACUACGUG
rnacentral:rRNA from 1 species